CUUAACAUACUUUUCUCUAUUUUAGACAUACCAACUUUUAUUUAAAUCGCGUUUUAGGAAAAACGAAAACAAAAGAGGAUACCUUCGAUGGCGAGAGAAGGUAUGAGAUGGAGCUUAUAAGAAGAGAAUACUUGCAUUAUCAUGGCAUCAUUUUAUUCUGGUUCACCAAAGAAGUCACCUGAAGAAGUUCACAUUGUUCAGUCAGUUGGUGAGGAUGUCACACUGCAUCCAUUACAGAUCCUUCAUGAUCAAGAAAGAACAGUUCUAACUCUAGACUCUGUCCAAAGUCUAAAAGGUGUUGUGGUCAAUGUGAUUGCUGCAGAUGAUGGAACUAUUACUUAUUCUAGUGGUCUAUGUGGACAUAUUUUGCAAAUGAUCCCAGCUGAGGCAAUAGGAGAUGCUACCCAUUUUGUCCAAAUUCCUACCGAAGCAUCAUCCACAACAGCUAUAACAGAGGAAGUCACCCAUCAAGGACAUUUUUCAACAGAGACAUUAUCUACAUCAUCUGGAGCAAUAGGAGAAGUCACCCACCUUGUCCAUAUUCCAACAGAGACACCAUCCAUGCCUUCUAGCACAUUAGAAGGAGCAACUCACCUUCUACAUCUUCCAGCAGAGACAAUAUCUACUACAGCUGGUAUAGUAGACAAAGUCACCCAUCUUGUCCAUCUUCCAAUAGAGACUUCAUCUACAUUAGCUGGUACAGUAGAAGAAGUCACCCACCUUGUUCACCUUCCAGUAGACACAUCAUCCCCAUCAGCCAGUACAGUAGAAGAUGUCACUAAUUUUGUCGAACUUCCACUGAAAUCAACACCCACAGCCUCUUUAAACACAGUUGAAUCCUCUGUACCUUCAGACCCAGUUUCUAGAACUCUCAUGUGUACUGUAACUUCUGAACCCUCAAAGUCAAGUAUCCUUUGUUCUUUGCUUGCAACUACACCUUUAACAAAACCCUCGCUACCUGAUGCUCCAUCUUGGGUACAGAGAAUGAAUGACUGUGAGGAAAUUGGUAGUUCCUAUCGUGGCUGGGUUGGCACUGAAGAUGCAUUAGAUUUGCUCCUUGCCUAUCACAAACAGUUGACACAUUCUAGCUGGGGAACCCGUCAGUCUACCUCUUCCCUCCGCUCCUCCCUUCGACUAAUGUGGAAGUCUCAAUAUGUCCCAUUUGAUGGGAUUCCUUUCAUUAAUGCUGGAAGUAGAGCUGUGGUGAUGGAAUGCCAGUAUGGACCUAGAAGAAAAAGAAAUCCAUCCAAAAAACUCAACCAAAGUCAGAAAGGGAAAUUCAAACAGACUUGUCCUGCUAGGAUAUACAUUAAAAAAGUGAAAAAAUUUCCAGAGUAUAAGGUUGACCCAAAUCUUGAGAAAAAAAGUUUACAUGUAGCAAUGGAGAAAGCUUUUGUAGAACUGAAAGCAGCUGGUAUAGACGGACAUGGUGAAGAAAGGUGGUAUGUUCAGUUGCCAACAGAAAAAGCCCAUGAGUUCCAUGAUAGACUGCCUACAGGAAAUGGCUCCUCUCCAAACAAGCAGCAUCAUAACAUACGAGCAGUAAAAGAUAAUAUUACUAAGAACUCUUGUCUAUCUCGAAUUCAUCCUACAUUAGUAACAAAAAUAAGAGAGCUAGUAGCUAAUGGUGAAACCAAAGUGCUGACAAUUCGAAAGCAACUCAGAAAGUUGGUAGAACAUGAAAUGUUUUCCAAAAAUGAUAAACUUCCUGAACGUCAUAACCUUUGCUUUUUUCCAACAAUCCACGACAUUCAAAAUCACGUAUUUGAGGCUCUAAAGGAUAUCCGCACUGGAGAACUACCACUUCUUGUACCCAGUGUUAAUAUUGAGGUUCCUAAUCAGAGUUCUUCAAGCCAACAGCUCCAUCCUGUAAACAGCAAAAAUGUGCAGCCAGCUGUUAGACAAUCCCAGAUUAAGGGAUUGACAGUUACGCUAUCAAAAAAUAAAGAACCAGACCAAGCCCCAACCAUUACAAAAAUCGAGGUAAUUCAUAGUGAUGGAAGUGUUGAGGUAAACAGCACCUUAACAGCUGAAACGUUGAAUAUGAUUAACAAAAUUACACCAGCUUCAUUAUCUCAGCGGCCUUUUGAAACUGUGAAUUCUUUGCCUAUUGCUAACCUCAACUUGCCAGAGACAAGAAAUCAAGACCCUCAAUCAGACAUUGCAACAAUUAUCUUUGUUCCUGACAGUCAACAUAGCUUAACCUCUGGACACACCUCUUUUGCUAAAACAUCUUCAAAGUCCCACACAAUGAGAAGCAGUAGUUCUCUACCAGCUGAAACCACCUUGACUAGCAUUGCUAGCUUACCAGCCAUGAGUUCUGGAAACUGUUAAAGCAUUACUAUCAGCCACAGAGCUCAUAUCAUUGUAGCACCAAAUCUGGAAACUUUAGUCAACUUUUAGGUGAAUAUCUACUUUGUCACUCUUGUUUUAUGAUACUUCUUUGUUUAUUGUAAAUUUAACUAACCUGAAAUAUAACUUACUAUUAUUAUUCAUUGCAAAAUGUUUAAAAAUUGAAGGUAAUACUUGUUUUUUCUGUGAAAAAAAUCUAGAUUUUGAUUUCUGCCCUGUGGUGCACAUUGGGCAUAACUUGUUCUGCUCUAAAAUAUUUUUAUAGUUAUCAUUUGAUAGAUUUGAUUUCUUGUAUUAUAAUAAUGCCACUAAAAUGUGGCUAAAAAUUGUAUGUAUUUUUUUAAUUAAAGUAACUCUCUUAACCAUAGAAUUACUAAUCGAGUCCAUGUUUCAUAGGUUUUGUAAACAUGUUUAUAACUGUAUGCACCAAAUUGAUUCUGGAUCUAUAACUUGGUUGGUUACAGAGUGUCUAAUAAAGCAAAAGUCACAAAAACUUUAAACAAAAGUGUCAUAUGUGUUACAAUUAAUUCCAAUAAUUAUUGCUAGGGUCGUAUAUUAUUUGUCAUAGAAAAUUUAUGACUUCACCCUAUGUUUUUGGCCAGUACUUUACACUGGGGGAUUAUAACGUGAAACUAUUCAGUACAAUACAAUAUGUGGACCCAAGUUGGUAAUUUAAAGAUUAAGCCAUUGAUUCUUUUUAAUCAUAUACGAAACUAGAAUUGGAAAAAAAUAUUUGUUAAAUAUCCUUUUUUUUUUCUGUAUUUUAGCUAUUAAAAUACUCUGAAGUAAAAUGAUUUGUCAGUCUUAGUUGUUUCUUACUAAAGUAUGUUUUUGCAUGUUGAAUUGUAUAACCUGAGUAUAAAAAUUAAUCAGAUGAAGGAAGAUAGCAUUGGAAAUAGAAAUUCAUUAAAUAUAUUUCCAAGUAUCACUUCUAUUUUCACUCAUUUUGAUAGUUAUUAUUUAUAAUGUUGCAUAUUCCAAGGUUAAUGUAAACAGCAUUCACAAAUAGGACUAACUUUACAAAUAAAUUAUUUCUGGCAGAACUUCUACUUACUUGCUAAUUUCAUAUCUCUACUUUCUGUUGAAACACAAAUACAAUAUUUAAAACAGUGAACUAACUCACUAACUAUCUGAGAGUAAUGGACAACUGACUAACAAAUUGACUAACUCAGUAAUCAAUAAAUCACUGUAACAGACUCACAAAAUAAAUCAAUAUCUCACUCACACUUAUAAACUGUUCAAAUUAUUUCCCAAACUUUCAGGUUCUGGUCAUUAAACUAUGCCCAUCACAUGGUAUGAAGAUUGCUU
rnacentral:misc_RNA from 1 species